GAGAGCUGUGUGAUAAGAAACUAUCAUGCACGGUUCUGAAAGAGAAGUUUGAUAUAGUGAUGUAUCUUAUUUACUCGAC
rnacentral:ncRNA from 1 species